rnacentral:rRNA from 1 species
UACGAAGGGGGCUAGCGUUGCUCGGAAUCACUGGGCGUAAAGGGUGCGUAGGCGGGUCUUUAAGUCAGGGGUGAAAUCCUGGAGCUCAACUCCAGAACUGCCUUUGAUACUGAAGAUCUUGAGUUCGGGAGAGGUGAGUGGAACUGCGAGUGUAGAGGUGAAAUUCGAUAGAUAUUCGGAAGAACACCAGUGGCGAAGGCGGCUCACUGGCCCGGUACUGACGCUGAGGUGCGAAAGCGUGGGGAGCAAACAGGG